rnacentral:rRNA from 1 species
AUUGAACGCUGGCGGCAUGCUUUACACAUGCAAAUCGAACGGCAGCGCGGGCUUCGGCCUGGCGGCGAGUGGCGAACGGGUGAGUAAUACAUCGGAACGUGCCCAGUAGUGGGGGAUAGCUCGGCGAAAGCCGGAUUAAUACCGCAUACGACCUGAGGGUGAAAGCGGGGGAUCUUCGGACCUCGCGCUAUUGGAGCGGCCGAUGGCAGAUUAGCUAGUUGGUGGGGUAAAGGCCUACCAAGGCGACGAUCUGUAGCUGGUCUGAGAGGACGACCAGCCACACUGGGACUGAGACACGGCCCAGACUCCUACGGGAGGCAGCAGUGGGGAAUUUUGGACAAUGGGCGAAAGCCUGAUCCAGCAAUGCCGCGUGUGUGAUGAAGGCCUUCGGGUUGUAAAGCACUUUUGGCGGGAACGAAAAGGACUGUGCCAAUACCACGGUUCGAUGACGGUACCCGCAGAAUAAGCACCGGCUAACUACGUG